CGGGGUAACGGCCCACCAAGCCUUCGAUCAGUAGCUGAUGUGAGAGCAUGAUCAGCCACACGGGCACUGAGACACGGGCCCGACUCCUACGGGAGGCAGCAGUAAGGAAUAUUGGUCAAUGGACGCAAGUCUGAACCAGCCAUGCCGCGUGGAGGAUGAAGGCCCUCUGGGUUGUAAACUUCUUUUCUUUGGGACGAAACCCCUGUUUCUACGGGGACUGACGGUACCAGAGGAAUAAGCACCGGCUAACUCCGUGCCAGCAGCCGCGGUAAUACGGAGGGUGCAAGCGUUAUCCGGAUUCACUGGGUUUAAAGGGAGCGUAGGUGGGCUUUUAAGUCAGUGGUGAAAUCUUUGGGCUUAACCCGAAAACUGCCAUUGAUACUAUUAGUCUUGAAUUCUCUGGAGGUAAGCGGAAUAUGUCAUGUAGCGGUGAAAUGCUUAGAUAUGACAUAGAACACCCAUUGCGAAGGCAGCUUACUACGGAGACAUUGACACUGAGGCUCGAAAGCGUGGGGAUCAAACAGGAUUAGAUACCCUGGUAGUCCACGCCCUAAACGAUGAUUACUCGACAUUAGCGAUAUUACAGUUAGUGUCUAAGCGAAAGCAUUAAGUAAUCCACCUGGGAAGUA
rnacentral:rRNA from 2 species